AUUGAACGCUGGCGGCAGGCUUAACACAUGCAAGUCGAGCGGAGAUGAGGUGCUUGCACCUUAUCUUAGCGGCGGACGGGUGAGUAAUGCUUAGGAAUCUGCCUAUUAGUGGGGGACAACAUUCCGAAAGGAAUGCUAAUGCCGCAUACGCCCUACGGGGGAAAGCAGGGGAUCUUCGGACCUUGCGCUAAUAGAUGAGCCUAAGUCGGAUUAGCUAGUUGGUGGGGUAAAGGCCUACCAAGGCGACGAUCUGUAGCGGGUCUGAGAGGAUGAUCCGCCACACUGGGACUGAGACACGGCCCAGACUCCUACGGGAGGUAGCAGUGGGGAAUAUUGGACAAUGGGCGGAAGCCUGAUCCAGCCAUGCCGCGUGUGUGAAGAAGGCCUUUUGGUUGUAAAGCACUUUAAGCGAGGAGGAGGCUACCUGGAUUAAUACUCUAGGAUAGUGGACGUUACUCGCAGAAUAAGCACCGGCUAACUCUGUGCCAGCCGCCGCCGUAAGAC
rnacentral:rRNA from 1 species